rnacentral:lncRNA from 1 species
CCCUGCGCUGGCAUCGGCUCCCGCGGGCGGCCCGGCCCCGCCGCCUUGAGCCGGAGCGGAGGGGAUGGGGCUCUGUUUUUUUCCACCUUGCCACUAGCGCGCUCUCACCCUCAUCUCGUGUUGCAGUGCAGGCAAUGCCACACCUCCUGAGGACACUGGGGACAUCAGGUUUUGCUGAGCUUAGCAUCUUCUCAACGCCGUACUGA